rnacentral:ncRNA from 1 species
CAGGUAGAGGCGCGACCUUUAUCAGUACGUUGUUACAAUGCACGGUAGCAGUGACAGCGGAAAGGAAAUGUCGCCGAAGUUUCUUUGCCAUACCGUAGGCAAGGUUGCUGGGUCAACGCAGAAUAUGUGUUGGACUGUCACGUUUAGUGGAGAGCUAUCGC